UACGGAGGGUGCAAGCGUUAAUCGGAAUUACUGGGCGUAAAGCGUGCGCAGGCGGUUUGUUAAGUCCGUUGUGAAAGCCCCGAGCUCAACUUGGGAAUUGCAGUGGAUACUGGCAGGCUGGAGUACGGUAGAGGAAGGUGGAAUUCCCGGUGUAGCAGUGAAAUGCGUAGAUAUCGGGAGGAACACCAGUGGCGAAGGCGGCCUUCUGGACCAGUACUGACGCUCAUGCACGAAAGCGUAGGGAGCAAACAGG
rnacentral:rRNA from 1 species